UACGUAGGGCGCAAGCGUUAUCCGGAAUUAUUGGGCGUAAAGAGCUCGUAGGCGGUUUGUCGCGUCUGCCGUGAAAGUCCGGGGCUCAACUCCGGAUCUGCUGUGGGUACGGGCAGACUAGAGUGAUGUAGGGGAGACUGGAAUUCCUGGUGUAGCGGUGAAAUGCGCAGAUAUCAGGAGGAACACCGAUGGCGAAGGCAGGUCUCUGGGCAUUAACUGACGCUGAGGAGCGAAAGCAUGGGGAGCGAACAGG
rnacentral:rRNA from 1 species